GAUCCUGGCUCGAGGAUGAACGCUAGCGGCAGGCUUAACACAUGCAAGUCGAGGGGGUAGAGGAAGCUUGCUUCCUUGAGACCGGCGCACGGGUGCGUAACGCGUAUACAAUCUACCUUUUACAGAGGGAUAGCCCAGAGAAAUUUGGAUUAAUACCUCAUAGUAUUUUCGAAUCGCAUGAUUUGAUUAUUAAAGUUCCAACGGUAAAAGAUGAGUAUGCGUCCCAUUAGCUAGAUGGUAAGGUAACGGCUUACCAUGGCAACGAUGGGUAGGGGGUCCUGAGAGGGAGAUCCCCCACACUGGUACUGAGACACGGACCAGACUCCUACGGGAGGCAGCAGUGAGGAAUAUUGGACAAUGGGCGCAAGCCUGAUCCAGCCAUGCCGCGUGCAGGAAGACGGUCCUAUGGAUUGUAAACUGCUUUAUACAGGAAGAAACACUCGGACGUGUCCGAACUUGACGGUACUGUAUGAAUAAGCAUCGGCUAACUCCGUG
rnacentral:rRNA from 1 species